rnacentral:rRNA from 1 species
GACGAACGCUGGCGGCGUGCUUAACACAUGCAAGUCGAACGAAGUGGCGAACGGGUGAGUAAUACGUGAGUAACCUGCCCUCCUUUUUGGGAUAAGCCUUGGAAACGGGGUCUAAUACCGAAUAAAGGGGGAUGGGCGCGCGGCCUAUAGGCUUGGUGGGGGGGUGAUGGCCUACCAAGGCGGUGACGGGUAGCCGGCCUGAGAGGGUGACCGGUGACAUUGGGCCUGGGAUACGGCCCAGAGGCCUACGGGAGGAAGCAGUGGGGGAUAUUGCACAAUGGGCGAAAGCCUGAUGCAGCGACGCCGCGGGGGGGAUGUAGGCUUUCGGGUUGUAAACCUCUUUCGCUAUCGAAGGGGUAGGUGGAGAAGAAGCGCCGGCUAACUACGUGCCAGCAGCCGCGGUAAUAC